GUAAAUAUAAUUUAAUGGUAAAAUAUCAAUCUUCCAAAUUGAUGUUAAGAGUUCAAAUCUCUUUAUUUACA
rnacentral:tRNA from 1 species